UGAUGAGUAGUGUUACCGUAUGGUUCCC
rnacentral:sRNA from 1 species